rnacentral:rRNA from 1 species
GACGAACGCUGGCGGCGUGCUUAACACAUGCAAGUCGAACGGAAAGGCCCUGCUUUUGUGGGGUGCUCGAGUGGCGAACGGGUGAGUAACACGUGAGUAACCUGCCCUUGACUUUGGGAUAACUUCAGGAAACUGGGGCUAAUACCGGAUAGGAGCUCCUGCUGCAUGGUGGGGGUUGGAAAGUUUCGGCGGUUGGGGAUGGACUCGCGGCUUAUCAGCUUGUUGGUGGGGUAGUGGCUUACCAAGGCUUUGACGGGUAGCCGGCCUGAGAGGGUGACCGGCCACAUUGGGACUGAGAUACGGCCCAGACUCCUACGGGAGGCAGCAGUGGGGAAUAUUGCACAAUGGGCGGAAGCCUGAUGCAGCAACGCCGCGUGCGGGAUGACGGCCUUCGGGUUGUAAACCGCUUUCGCCUGUGACGAAGCGUGAGUGACGGUAAUGGGUAAAGAAGCACCGGCUAACUACGUGCCAGCAGCCGCGGUGAUACGUAGGGUGCGAGCGUUGUCCAGAUUUAUUGGGCGUAAAGGGCUCGUAGGUGGUUGAUCGCGUCGGAAGUGUAAUCUUGGGGCUUAACCCUGAGCGUGCUUUCGAUACGGGUUGACUUGAGGAAGGUAGGGGAGAAUGGAAUUCCUGGUGGAGCGGUGGAAUGCGCAGAUAUCAGGAGGAACACCAGUGGCGAAGGCGGUUCUCUGGGCCUUUCCUGACGCUGAGGAGCGAAAGCGUGGGGAGCGAACAGGCUUAGAUACCCUGGUAGUCCACGCUGUAAACGGUGGGUACUAGGUGUGGGGUCCAUUCCACGGGUUCCGUGCCGUAGCUAACGCUUUAAGUACCCCGCCUGGGGAGUACGGCCGCAAGGCUAAAACUCAAAGGAAUUGACGGGGCCCCGCACAAGCGGCGGAGCAUGCGGAUUAAUUCGAUGCAACGCGUAGAACCUUACCUGGGUUUGACAUGGAUCGGGAGUGCUCAGAGAUGGGUGUGCCUCUUUUGGGGUCGGUUCACAGGUGGUGCAUGGCUGUCGUCAGCUCGUGUCGUGAGAUGUUGGGUUAAGUCCCGCAACGAGCGCAACCCUUGUUCACUGUUGCCAGCACGUUAUGGUGGGGACUCAGUGGAGACCGCCGGGGUCAACUCGGAGGAAGGUGGGGAUGACGUCAAGUCAUCAUGCCCCUUAUGUCCAGGGCUUCACGCAUGCUACAAUGGCUGGUACAGAGAGUGGCGAGCCUGUGAGGGUGAGCGAAUCUCGGAAAGCCGGUCUCAGUUCGGAUUGGGGCCUGCAACUCGACCUCAUGAAGUCGGAGUCGCUAGUAAUCGCAGAUCAGCAACGCUGCGGUGAAUACGUUCCCGGG